rnacentral:lncRNA from 1 species
GUACAGGCUUUGGUCCACAGAGACAACAAUACUUUCAAUACUCUUUUGUUCUGCCCCAGAGGAGCUCAACACAGAAUUGCCUAGAACAAGAAACUGGGGCCCUCUAGGGUUCUCAGGCCGUCAGGUUCACUAAACCCGUCUGGGGUUUCUACACACGACCUGAAGGCAUCUCCGCCCUUUGGCGGCAGAUAGAGGAAUAGAAACGACUGAGGAGACAUGAAGCAGGGAGGAAAAGCUGGAUGAGAGGAAGCACAGGGAGUGGAAGGCAACGUCCAGGAGUUCUCCUGCCUCAGCCUCGCGAGUAGCUGGGACGACAGGCGCCGCCACCAGGCUUAGCUGUCAAAUUAGCUAUUUUUAAGGAUUGUACAUGGCGAUCAUCAGCAGUAUGAAGAGGAGCUGUGGGGCCAGGGAGAGAAGCUGCAGCCUGUUGAGACUCCACAAGACUGAAGAUAUGAAAAGAGGAAAUAUGCAUGAAUGCCCGCACGGAGAACCACCCCCACCUGCUGCUCCCGCUCUAAUGAUCACGCCCAUUAUCAACUGGGGGAUGGCUCUGUGCCUUGUCCUUGCAUUACAUGGACCAAGAACACUUCACAGGACUCAGAGAGGCAAAAAUAGAUACAAAAGAAGAAGGAAUUACAGAAGAAGUCACAUAACAUUAUUGCCUACAAAUAGACAUCUGGGCAAGUCAACAGGAAGGUGGAUAUCCAAAUCUCUCUCUUCGCAAUGAGUUUCCAGUUAGAUGGAGGAGAGAGUAAUAAAACACAGAGCUGAGAUUCCUGACUUCACAGAUCCCUGAGGAGAUGUUUACUAAAGGGAAUCUUCUGGUCACUGUUACCUUCCUCCGUACUUACCUGCCUCAUGGAGAACACUGAAGAAUGCAGUUUACUUACAUCUUUUUCUGUUUGACAGAAGACAGUUAUUAGUUACCCUUGGGACAUCAAAAUGACCAAGGCAGUGUCUGCUAAGUAUUUGCUGAGACUCUGCUAUGAUUCUUUCAAGUCUAAAGACAGUUAUCUGAAUGAUAUCCCCGUGACAGUGGACUCCUGCACAUUCACAGUCCUGGAAGGAGCCUGUCCACAUUGGCAUUCUGGAAGUCCAUAAAAGACAAACGCAUAUGCAGUCCCCGAGAAAGCAUUGUUGUAAACAAAUCUGCACUAGAUGGAAACUCUGUUAUGUGGUGCCGGCAUGCAUGGAAGAGAACCCGAAAGGAAGAAGCUAUACGACUGGGGACACAUGUCUUAGAAGCACACUCAUUAGAUAAAGUGUCGCAUACUCUUUGAUAAGGAACUCCAGGCUGUCACCCAUCUGUUCUCUCAUCAAAGUAGUUUUGGGCCAGCAACUAUUUCAGACAUUUCUACAGUUUCAGAUGUCUCACUCUGCCUAUGACUGUAUGUUGUACUUGAGGACUGGACGCACAGGGUAAAGUGCAAAUAGCAAGCAUUCAGGUCCAACUCUCCUCCUUCUGGUUAACAAUAUGACAACCCUUACAAGAUUUUUGCCCAGCGAAAGUGGCACGUGGAACAUGGAAUGACAUUUCAUAAAGAUAAAUCCAGAGAUUAGUGCUGAAGACUACACCCCUGUGUAGUCCCACACAGGCUACCCCAGACCAGCCUGGCGGGCUCUGCACUAGGCCUCCCAUCAGGCGAGAGCCAACGCUCCUCAGCCCGGCUCCACCUCAUUCAGAAGAAAGUGUGUCUCCCGGCCUCACAUUGCGCUGAAUGCAAGGAUACCGAGAUAAACCAGGCUUUCCUUCGCUCAGAGUACAGUUGCAGACUUGGUAAUGACUGAGCCAAGCCAGACUGACUGUGAUAAGAUAAUAAAUUAACUACCAGUCAGGAGCUAAGUCAGCAGAUGUGCGAACAUUUUAGAGGUAACAUCAUAAACUAGAACAGAGGAGCUCUUGGGAAGAAAAAGGGCUUGGAAAUUAUACCUGGAAAGAUACCGCUAAUAAUGAUCAAGAAGAAAAAACAAAUCCAGUUUGGAAGUGAGCAAUCAUUUAUGAUGUAAAAUAUUUCUUAGAAAUGGAAUCUAGAUAAUGCUUGGAAUAUGCUUUAAACUACCUAUAUUUAAUUUGUUUUUCUUGUGAUUUUUGUAUUGUUUGGUGUAAAAUAAUCUUAAUCUUUCCAGGUGGUGUCUAAUUAAGGCACAUUUACUGAUAUGAGUCAUUUUCUAAAUAUACUUUAUCUAAGAAAAUUUAAAAUUUUUGGAUCAACUAAAAACUCUCUCAAUUAUUUUAGAGUUAACUCUUCCAAAUUCUAAAAUGUAUUCAUAAAUUAUAUACAACUAUUUUAAUGGUCACUGUGGGCCCAACUUCUGUAUAUAAAUUUACCUUCUUAUUUUACAGGUGCUAAUGUUUAAAGAUACUUAAAUAUGCCAAUUUCUUUCCUCUAUGUAGAAGUUUGAAAUACAUUCUAUGCCCUGAGAGAACCCUUUGAAAUUUGAACACAUAGAGUAUUGUUAUGUGCUUUCAAAACUUUGUGUUGUAUAGGACCCUCUUUUAGCUGAAUAUUUUUCAAGCAGUAAGCCUGUCCUGCAUCGCACAUGUACUGGGACACCCAUGGACAAAAUCAUAAGACUCUGUCUUCCUGACAGAUUUCCCUCCUCUCCUGGGGAAUUCUCUAAUGAUGUCACUCUUUUUUUGUGCCCUGUAUGGUUUUUUUUUUUCAGUUUCUUCUGUGUGAUGCACGUGAUGCUGUUACACUGCAGGGUAGCGUUUUUAAAAAAUCUGAUUUACAGUUUGUCCUACUAUUAUAUAUUUUGCUUAUAAAAACCUUGUGUUUUUUCAAAAAUUCCUAACAGACUUAUUUAGGUCUAACUGACCUAAAAUAAACCACACAUGGUACAGUGUACAGUUUGAUGGGCUUCGACAUAAGCACAUAUAAUGGGUUGAAUUAUGUCCCUCACGAGAUAUGUUAAAGUCCUAAACCCUGUUUCUCAUUUGCGAAUAGGGCCUUUAUUUGGAAAUAGGGUCAUUGCAGGUAUAAUUAGCUAAGAUGAGGUUGUAGUGGAGUGGAGUGGGCCCUUAAUCCCCUUAAUCCUAAAUGAGGGGUGUCAUCAUAAGAAAGACACUGGCAAACAGAUACAGACACAGAGGGAAGAACGCCACAUGACAAGGAGGCAGGGGGUGGAGUGAUGCUGCCACACGUCAAGAAGAACCUGCGGCCACCAGAGUUAGAAGAGGCAAGAAAGGAUUCUCUCGUGGAGGCCUCGGACUGGCAUCGCCUUGCCAACAACGCUGAUGGUGGGCUUCCAGCCUCCAGAAUUGUAAGGCAAUAAAUUCAUGUUGUUUUAAGCCAGACUCAGAACACCCGUGUCCUUCCCAACAUUGGAUGCAAUGCUAAAGACAUGAUGUUGCUCCUGCUGGACCACACCUUGAAGGAAUUGCCUACCCCACCUCACCUCCAAAAUUAAAGUCUUUCGUUUUGACAAAAGUUAAUUGCCUGUAAGAGAUUGGGAGCCGAGGGCCUGAGGGUGAAGCCUCGUUUGUGCAGGUGACUGUGGGACUCUGGUGUAAGUAACGCUGGGCCCACCCUGGUAAUGAAGGAAGACCCAGGCCCAGGCAGGGGCGGUGUCACAGGCACAGGGGCUCGCACCCUGGGCACUGACGGUGGCUGUCGCACCAGGGCCGCUCCUUGCAGAAACCUCACUGAGCCUGUGCCUGUUGAGUAGCUUCAUGAGGAGCGGAUAUCAGGCAGAGAAAGCCCGGGCAAGAGAGUGACACACGGGGCUUCUGCCCAGAACACGUGCGCCCACAAUCCCGGGAGCUGU